rnacentral:rRNA from 1 species
UACGGAAGGCAGCAGUGGGGAAUACUGCACAAUGGGCGAAAGCCUGAUGCAGCUAUGCCGCGUGUAUGAAGAAGGCCUUAGGGUUGUAAAGUACUUUCAUCGGGGAGGAAAAACAAAACUAAUAAUUUUAUUUCUUGACGUUACCCGAAAAAGAAGCACCGGCUAACUCCGUGCCAGCAGCCGCGGUAAUACGGAGGGUGCUAGCGUUAAUCAGAAUUACUGGGCGUAAAGAGCACGUAGGUGGUUUUUUUAAGUCAGAUGUGAAAUCCCUGGGCUUAACCUAGGAACUGCAUUUUGAAACUGAAAUACUAGAGUAUCGUAGAGGGAGGUAGAAUUCUAGGUGUAGCGGUGAAAUGCGUAGAUAUCUGGAGGAAUACCUGUGGCGAAAGCGGCCUCCUAAACGAAUACUGACACUGAGGUGCGAAAGCGUGGGGAGCAAACAGGAUUAGAUACC